UGGGGAAUUUUGCACAAUGGGGGAAACCCUGAUGCAGCGACGCCGCGUGAUUUAGAAGGCCUUCGGGUUGUAAAAAUCUUUUUUACGGGAUGAAAAUGACAGUACAGUAAGAAUAAGGUCCGGCUAAAUAAGUGCCAGCAGCCGCGGUAAUACGUAUGGACCGAGCGUUGUCCGGAAUCAUUGGGCGUAAAGGGUACGUAGGCGGCCUAGUAAGUUAGAAGUGAAAUAAUAUAGCUCAACUAUAUAAAGCUUUUAAAACUGCUAGGCUUGAGAGAUGGAAGGGAAGGUGGAAUUCCUAGUGUAGCGGUUGAAUGCGCAGAUAUUAGGAAGAAUACCGGUGGCGAAGGCGACUUUCUGGUCAUCAUCUGACGCUGAGGUACGAAAGCGUGGGUAGCAAACAGG
rnacentral:rRNA from 1 species